AAUGGCAGACAAAUGCAUAAGACUUAAAUUCUUACUAUGAACUAAAUACCUAAGUUCUU
rnacentral:tRNA from 1 species